CAGUCGCCGCGGGAAUACGUAGGUGGCAAGCGUUGUCCGGAAUUAUUGGGCGUAAAGCGCGCGCAGGUGGUUUAAUAAGUCUGAUGUGAAAGCCCACGGCUCAACCGUGGAGGGUCAUUGGAAACUGUUAAACUUGAGUGCAGGAGAGAAAAGUGGAAUUCCUAGUGUAGCGGUGAAAUGCGUAGAGAUGUGGAGGAACACCAGUGGCGAAGGCGACUCUCUGGUCUGUAACUGACGCUGAGGAGCGAAAGCGUGGGGAGCGAACAGGAUUAGAUACCCCGGUAGUCCCUGUCUCUUAUAC
rnacentral:rRNA from 1 species